GACGAACGCUGGCGGCGUGCCUAAUACAUUCAAGUUGAGCGCUGAAGGUUGGUACUUGUACCAACUGGAUGAGCAGCGAACGGGUGAGUAACGCGUGGGGAAUCUGCCUUUGAGCGGGGGACAACAUUUGGAAACGAAUGCUAAUACCGCAUAAAAACUUUAAACACAAGUUUUAAGUUUGAAAGAUGCAAUUGCAUCACUCAAAGAUGAUCCCGCGUUGUAUUAGCUAGUUGGUGAGGUAAAGGCUCACCAAGGCGAUGAUACAUAGCUGACCUGAGAGGGUGAUCGGCCACAUUGGGACUGAGACACGGCCCAAACUCCUACGGGAGGCAGCAGUAGGGAAUCUUCGGCAAUGGACGAAAGUCUGACCGAGCAACGCCGCGUGAGUGAAGAAGGUUUUCGGAUCGUAAAACUCGGUUGGUAGAGAAGAACGUUGGUGAGAGUGGAAAGCUCAUCAAGUGACGGUAACUACACAGAAAGGGACGGCUAACUACGUG
rnacentral:rRNA from 1 species